UGAACCAGUACCGUGAGGGAAAGGCGAAAAGAACCCCGGCGAGGGGAGUGAAAAAGAACCUGAAACCGUGUACGUACAAGCAGUGGGAGCCCCACCACCAAAGCAUUCUCUGGUGUUGAAGGCCCUGCAAAGCAGCAUCGCGGUGGCGGAGCGUCGUUUGCGACGCCCAACACACAAAACAAGCGGUGAGUGCUUUGGGGUGGGGUGACUGCGUACCUUUUGUAUAAUGGGUCAGCGACUUAUAUUCUGUAGCAAGGUUAACCGUAUAGGGGAGCCGUAGGGAAACCGAGUCUUAACCGGGCGUUAAGUUGCAGGGUAUAGACCCGAAACCCGGUGAUCUAGCCAUGGGCAGGUUGAAGGUUGGGUAACACUAACUGGAGGACCGAACCGACUAAUGUUGAAAAAUUAGCGGAUGACCUGUGGCUGGGGGUGAAAGGCCAAUCAAACCGGGAGAUAGCUGGUUCUCCCCGAAAGCUAUUUAGGUAGCGCCUCGUGAAUUCAUCUCCGGGGGUAGAGCACUGUUUCGGCUAGGGGGCCAUCCCGGCUUACCAACCCGAUGCAAACUGCGAAUACCGGAGAAUGUUAUCACGGGAGACACACGGCGGGUGCUAACGUCCGUCGUGAAGAGGGAAACAACCCAGACCGCCAGCUAAGGUCCCAAAGUCAUGGUUAAGUGGGAAACGAUGUGGGAAGGCCCAGACAGCCAGGAUGUUGGCUUAGAAGCAGCCAUCAUUUAAAGAAAGCGUAAUAGCUCACUGGUCGAGUCGGCCUGCGCGGAAGAUGUAACGGGGCUAAACCAU
rnacentral:rRNA from 1 species